UACGUAGGCAGCGAGCGUUGUUCGGAAUUACUGGGCGUAAAGAGUGUGUAGGCGGUGCUCUAAGUUCGGUGUGAAAUCUCCUGGCUUAACUGAGGAAGUGCAUCCGAAACUGGUAGGCUUGAGUACGAAAGAGGGUCGCGGAAUUCCCGGUGUAGAGGUGAAAUUCGUAGAUAUCGGGAGGAACACCGGUGGCGAAGGCGGCGACCUGGUUCGAUACUGACACUGAGGUGCGAAAGCGUGGGGAGCAAACAGG
rnacentral:rRNA from 1 species